rnacentral:rRNA from 1 species
UACGAAGGGUGCAAGCGUUAAUCGGAAUUACUGGGCGUAAAGCGUGCGUAGGCGGUUUCUUAAGUCUGCUGUGAAAGCCCCGGGCUCAACCUGGGAAUGGCGGUGGAUACUGAGAAGCUGGAGUACGGUAGAGGAAGGUGGAAUUCCCGGUGUAGCGGUGAAAUGCGUAGAGAUCGGGAGGAACACCGGUGGCGAAGGCGGGUCUCUGGACAGUUCCUGACACUGAGGCACGAAGGCCAGGGGAGCAAACGGG